rnacentral:rRNA from 1 species
CAAUAGCGUAUAUUAAAGUUGUUGCAGUUAAAAAGCUCGUAGUUGGAUUUCGGGAUGGCUCGGCCGGUCUGCCGCAAGGUAUGUUACUGGCCGCGCUGUUCUUCCUCGCAAAGACUGUGUGUGCUCUUAACUGAGUGUGCAUAGGAUCUGUGACGUUUACUUUGAAAAAAUUAGAGUGUUCAAAGCAAGCCAGCGCUUGAAUACAUAAGCAUGGAAUAAUGGAAUAGGACUUUGGUUCUAUUUUGUUGGUUUCUGGAACUGAAGUAAUGAUUGAGAGAGACAGUUGGGGGCAUUCGUAUUUCGUUGUCAGAGGUGAAAUUCUUGGAUUUACGAAAGACGAACUACUGCGAAAGCAUUUGCCAAGAAUGUUUUCAUUA